rnacentral:rRNA from 1 species
CCUACGGGAGACAGCAGUGGGGAAUAUUGGGCAAUGGAGGCAACUCUGACCCAGCAACGCCGCGUGAAUGAUGAAGGUCUUCGGAUUGUAAAGUUCUGUGAUGGGGGAUGAACACAAUGACGGUACCCCAAUAGCAAGCCACGGCUAACUACGUGCCAGCAGCCGCGGUAAUCCGUAGGUGGCAAGCGUUAUCCGGAAUGACUGGGCGUAAAGGGUGCGUAGGUGGUUUAGUAAGUUGGCGGUGUAAUUCCGGGGCUCAACCUCGGCGCUACCGCGAAAACUAUUAGACUAGAGACGGCGGGAAGUACGCGGAAUGCGCGGUGUAGCGGUGAAAUGCAUAGAGAUCGCGCAGAACUCCGAUUGCGAAGGCAGCGUACCGGCGCCGGACUGACGCUGAGGCACGAAAGCGUGGGUAUCGAACAGGAUUAGAUACCCGUGUAGUC